rnacentral:misc_RNA from 1 species
GAUGAAGAACGCAGCGAAAUGCGAUAAGUAAUGUGAAUUGCAGAAUUCAGUGAAUCAUCGAAUCUUUGAACGCACAUUGCGCCCGCCAGUAUUCUGGCGGGCAUGCCUGUUCGAGCGUCAUUACAACCCUCAGGCCCCCGGGCCUGGCGUUGGGGAUCGGCGGAAGCCCCCUGUGGGCACACGCCGUCCCUCAAAUACAGUGGCGGCCCCGCCGCAGCUUCCAUUGCGUAGUAGCUAACACCUCGCAACUGGAGAGCGGCGCGGCCAUGCCGUAAAACACCCAACUUCUGAAUGUUGACCUCGAAUCAGGUAGGAAUACCCGCUGAACUUAAGCAUAUCAAUAAGCGGAGGA